AGUUAUACGUAAAUAAUUUUUAUAGCAUAAAAGUUAAAUAAAUUCAUACAUACUGUAAUACAGUAAGCUAAAGUAUUUAAUUUAAUUUACAAUAACAAGUGGGCCCCCGAAUAAACAAAAGUAAAGAGGACUAUGAACCUACAGUUUGGUAAAUGCAAGUCCAAUGGUAGUCCUCGAUGAGAUCAGCUAUCUACAGUCUAUUCUGAGCCUGAAAUAGAGGGAAAAGAGAGUGGUGAGAUUAUAAAAUCCCAAUGAGUAAAAAAACAUCAUUUAAAAUAUCUAAAGUCGAGUAAAAGGAGACUAUUAAAACAUUUCAUCUAAAUAUGUUUUUCAUAACAUAAAUACUCAUUUCAUUUAAGUAAUCAACAUGGCUUAUGAGUAUUUUAAAAGCUUGGCUCCUGCCAAAAUCAUUCUGGGGGAUACCUUGGUCGAGGCAUGUAACUGAGUCCGCCAAGGCUGUUAAAAAUUUUGUUUACACAAACAAUUUAUUAGUUUGAAAAAAAAACACAGUCGUUCCUUGACAUUAGCGGAGUUCAUCAUCACGAGGUGGUUCGGCAUGACGUGAACUCUAACCAUACCUCAGGAGAUACCCUACGUGCCUCUCCGAUCGAGGUACAUAUAUAUAUCAAGAUUUUGUAUCAUUCUAAUAGGCUGGUCCACAGAAUUCACCUACUACAGCAAGCUAAACUCACCAUAUAAUAAAAUUUUGACAGCAUGACAGGGCUAAUAUUUUACUAGCCAGUCUACAAGGGUAAAAUAAAACAAUUCAUACAAUUCAUAAAACACAGUCCAGCCAGUCAUGCCAACACAAUAACAAUAUAACAUAAGCCAUCAAUUUUCAAUCAUAAAUUUACAACAUAUCGGUGGUCUCCAAUUACUUUAUUUUCAAAAUCGUUAUUUCAUUUCAAGACAAUUUAUAAAAUCUUUUCAUUUAAACACAUUUUUGUUUAUAAAACCUAAAAUUAGCCAUUUAACUCAUUUUUCAUAAAAUUUCACCAAAACCGAGUUAAAACAUAUUUUAGAUAAUUAAAAUGAUGAUAAGGUUACUCACAAUGUCUAGAGUGGGGAUUUUUGAAGUACUCAGACUACUG
rnacentral:lncRNA from 1 species